GACGAACGCUGGCGGCGUGCUUAACACAUGCAAGUCGAACGGAAAGGCCCUGCUUUUGUGGGGUGCUCGAGUGGCGAACGGGUGAGUAACACGUGAGUAACCUGCCCUUGACUUUGGGAUAACUUCAGGAAACUGGGGCUAAUACCGGAUAGGAGCUCCUGCUGCAUGGUGGGGGUUGGAAAGUUUCGGCGGUGGGGGCUGGACUCGCGGCUUAUCAGCUUGUUGGUGGGGUAGUGGCUUACCAAGGCUUUGACGGGUAGCCGGCCUGCGAGGGUGACCGGCCACAUUGGGACUGAGAUACGGCCCAGACUCCUACGGGAGGCAGCAGUGGGGAAUAUUGCACAAUGGGCGGAAGCCUGAUGCAGCAACGCCGCGUGCGGGAUGACGGCCUUCGGGUUGUAAACCGCUUUCGCCUGUGACGAAGCGUGAGUGACGGUAAUGGGUAAAGAAGCACCGGCUAACUACGUG
rnacentral:rRNA from 1 species